rnacentral:rRNA from 1 species
GACGAACCGUCCAAACGUUAUUCGGAAUUACUGGGCGUAAAGGGCUCGUAGGCGGCCAACUAAGUCAGACGUGAAAUCCCUCGGCUUAACCGGGGAACUGCAUCUGAUACUGGAUGGCUUGAGUUCGGGAGAGGGAUGCGGAAUUCCAGGUGUAGCGGUGAAAUGCGUAGAUAUCUGGAGGAACACCGGUGGCGAAGGCGGCAUCCUGGACCGACACUGACGCUGAGGAGCGAAAGCCAGGGGAGCAAACGGG